CUGAAGCUGUGGAAGGCAGGAGACGUAAGAAGCCCAUAUGGCAGAGUUUCCUGAGCUAAUGUGAGCACAUGCGAUGAUCGGGGCUGCUAAGGGAAGUAAGCAAUUCCUGCUAUGGCUGCCACACCCCAGUGGGACUUGCAGGGGAAUAACAGGACACUGCUGUGUCCACCACUCCAGGAGAAAUGUCUCUUCCAGAGCUGCUGAAAACACAACAGAUCUCCCUCUGGGGCAGCCUGACGCCAGAGGCCGAGGGGAAAGAGGAAAGUGCUGUCUGAUGCCCACUGCAACUUCCAUUCUAUCUGAGGCAGGCCAUUUCCUAAGGCUUGGAGGCUGGCAGAAUGGCAAUCAAUUUCAGUCAACUGCCUGCUCACUUCCAUCAGUGGCUUGAUGUGGCACAAAGAAUGACAGGCUCCCACUCAGAAUAGGAGAGUUCAAAUUCUAGCUUUUCUAACCCCUGCAAAUCUGGCAACUGACUGAAUUUCUCUGGAUCUAUAAAAUGGGACUAAUUCUGUCUACAUCACAGAUUCCUGCCUCCUCUUCGAGCUCUCUCACUCCAAGUUUAAGCCGUGAGAAUUUCCUUCUCUGCAGUACCGAAAGAUGCUCUUAAUACCAGCUCCUGCUCCAGUGGGCCCAAAAAAUUCCUCCAGUGGACAUUUAGGAUGCUUCGCUUCUUGGCUAUUGUGAAUAGUGUUGCUAUAAACAUGGGUGUGGAAAUAUCUGUUAGUAUACAAUUACUUCUUAAGAAACUGCUAAACUCUUCCCUAAAGUGGACAUACCAAAUUAUAUUCCAACCAACAGUGCAUGAAAGUUUCAUUUCUGUCCCUCUCCCUCUCCCUCUCCCUCUCCCCACGGUCUCCCUCUCCCUCUCUUUCCACGGUCUCCCUCUGAUGCUGAGCCGAGGCUGGACUGUGCUGCUGCCAUCUUGGCUCACUGCAACCUCCCUGCCUGAUCCUCCUGCCUCAGCCUGCCGAGUGCCUGCGAUUGCAGGCGUGCGCCGCCACGCCUGACUGGUUUUUGUAUUUUUUUUGGUGGAGACGGGGUUUCGCUGUGUUGGCCAG
rnacentral:lncRNA from 1 species